rnacentral:rRNA from 1 species
AUUGAACGCUGGCGGCAGGCCUAACACAUGCAAGUCGAACGAGCGGCGGACGGGUGAGUAAUGUAUGGGGACUGCCCAAUCGAGGGGGAUAACUACUGGAAACGGUGGCUAAUACCGCAUACUAUCGGAUGACCCAUAUGGGAUUAGCUAGUUGGUGGGGUAAAGGCGCACCUAGGCGACGAUCCCUAGCUGGUCUGCGAGGAUGAUCAGCCACACUGGGACUGAGACACGGCCCAGACUCCUACGGAGGCAGCAGUGGGGAAUAUUGGACAAUGGGGGAAAGCCUGAUCCAGCCAUGCCGCGUGUAUGAAGAAGGCCUUAGGGUUGUAAAGUACUUUCGGCAGAGAAGCGGUAUCUGCAGAAGAAGCACCGGCUAACUCCGUGCCAGCAGCCGCGGUAAUAC